ensembl:lncRNA
AUGGAAAAAGGAGAUGGGAAAAGGGAGCUGGGAAAAUGGAGAUGGAAAAAGGGAGAUGGAAAAAAGGAGAUGGAAAAAGGGAGAUGGAAAAAAGGAGAUGGAAAAAGGACCUGGGAAAAAGGAGAUGAAAAAAGGAGAUGGAAAAAAGGAGAUGAAAAAGGACCUGAAAAAAGGGAGAUGGAAAAGGGACCUGGGAAAAAAGAGAUGAAAAAAGGAGAUGGAAAAAGGAGAUGGGAAAAAGGAGAUUGGGAAAAGGAGGUGGUAAAAAGGAGAUUGAAAAAGGGAGUUGGGAAAAAAGGAGAUGGAAAAAGGGGAGAUGGAAAAAAGGAGAUGAAAAAGGACCUGGGAAAAAGGAGAUGGAGAAAGGGAGAUGGAAAAAAGGAAAUGGAAAAAAGGAGAUGGAAAAAGGGAGCUGGAAAAAAGGAGAUGGAAAAAAUGAAAUGGAAAAAGAAGAUGAAAAAGGACCUGGGAAAAAGGAGACAAAAAAAGGAGAUGGAAAAAGGAGAUGGGAAAAAGGGAGCUGGGAAAAAGGAGAUGGAAAAAGGAGAUGGGAAAAGGAGGAUGGAAAAAAGGAGAUGGAAAAAAAGAGAUGGAAAAAAGGAGAUGGCUUCAGAUUGGCACCAAGGGCUACAGAACAUCAAUCCCCAGCAUACUCCACACACCUGCUCCCAAACCAAACCCUCUCCUUCUCCCCCCAGUGCUGUGUCAGGAGCACAGAGCAGCAGGAGGAGGGAGAACUGCCUGCAUUCAUUUCCCUGCAGCUCUCCUGGCACGGCUGCACAUCAUCAUUUAUCUUUCAGCAGCUUUGCUUUGCUCCCAGCUGCCUUUGCAGUUCAAAGCGACGGCAGCUUUGGGCAGAGGAAUUUUGUUGCAGUGUGUGUAAAGCAAGGAGGUGUUUGUGUAGUACUUGCCUGGCACCAGAGAGGCUGGAUUUAUUAUUUAUGUGUGUGUUGUAAUACAGACAGACAGAGAUUGGGUUUGUUAGAGCUUGUGCUGUUCGCAGGGAGGUAAUUCCUGCAAUAUUCCAAGUGCUGCUGCCCUCAGUGGGGUGUAAGCAGCUUUAAUGGGAUAUUUUAUUGCAUUGAUGUGGUCAGGGAUGCUGGGAGCAUCAUCAGCUUCAUUUUAUCUGUGUCCCCAAAUGCUGCUCUGGGUGCUUGUGAUGGAGAGCUGCAGAAAUCCCACAUUUUUGGCAGGAAAACCCCAAACCAACAUUUUCACCUGGGCUGGUUUGUCAUCCUGGAGCAGCAGCAAUUCCAGGGUGCAGAGGGAAGGGCCAUCAACAGGAGUGGCUGCAGUGGAUCCGUGCCUGGAACCAACCCAGACCUCUCCUGCUUUUCCUCCAUCUCCAGAGGGAUUUUAGAGAGGGAAAAAUUUAUUUCUGAUUUUCAAACAUUGCAUUGCAAGGCAGCACUGGAGAAGCAGCAGGUUCCAGUGGCAAAAGGUGCGAGUUGUUCUUGUCUUCCUUAAUCCAGGAAAUCCAGGGCUUUGUAGUUUAUUAAUUUGUUAUUAACAUUUAGGAAUGGUGCUCAUAGCUUCCAGAUUGCUCCGUUCUGGGUUGAUGGCUUUGCAUUCACAUCUGAAGCGAAAAUUAUCUCUGAAAUUCAAAUCUUUAUUACAACGUCCUUAGUUCUCUGCUGAGGUUUUCACUUGGGUUCUGGAAUCUAUUUCUAAAAUGUUUGUGCCGUUAUAAAUUCAGGGAGAAAACCCUGAUGUGUGAGUCCCAUGUCAGCAGCACUUUGGGCACUUUUGUCAGGAAUAAAACCCCCCUGAUUAAUGGUUUUUAAGCA